GGAUCCAGACUUUGAUCCUGGCUCAGGAUGAACGCUAGCUACAGGCUUAACACAUGCAAGUCGCGGGGCAGCAUGUCGGUUGCUUGCAACCGAUGAUGGCGACCGGCGCACGGGUGAGUAACGCGUAUCCAACCUGCCCUUCACCACGGAAUAAUCCAGUGAAAAUUGGUCUAAUACCGUAUGAGGUCAUACGAUGGCAUCAGAAUAUGACGAAAGGUUUGGCGGUGAAGGAUGGGGAUGCGUCUGAUUAGCUUGUUGGUGAGGUAACGGCUCACCAAGGCGACGAUCAGUAGGGGUUCUGAGAGGAAGGUCCCCCACAUUGGAACUGAGACACGGUCCAAACUCCUACGGGAGGCAGCAGUGAGGAAUAUUGGUCAAUGGGCGAGAGCCUGAACCAGCCAAGUAGCGCGCAGGAAGACGGCCCUAUGGGUUGUAAACUGCUUUUAUAUGGGGAUAAAGUGAGUUACGUGUAGCUUAUUGCAGGUACCAUAUGAAUAAGGACCGGCUAAUUCCGUGCCAGCAGCCGCGGUAAUACGGAAGGUCCAGGCGUUAUCCGGAUUUAUUGGGUUUAAAGGGAGCGUAGGCCGCCCCUUAAGCGUGUUGUGAAAUGCCGCGGCUCAACCGUGGCACUGCAGCGCGAACUGGGGGGCUUGAGUGCACGCAACGCAGGCGGAAUUCGUGGUGUAGCGGUGAAAUGCUUAGAUAUCACGAAGAACUCCGAUUGCGAAGGCAGCUUGCGGGAGUGCGACUGACGCUGAAGCUCGAAGGUGCGGGUAUCGAACAGGAUUAGAUACCCUGGUAGUCCGCACAGUAAACGAUGGAUGCCCGCUGUGUGCCCUAGUGGUACGCGGCCAAGCGAAAGCGUUAAGCAUCCCACCUGGGGAGUACGCCGGCAACGGUGCAA
rnacentral:rRNA from 1 species